UGGUGGAGCGAUUUGUCUGGUUAAUUCCGUUAACGAACGAGACCUCGGCCUGCUAAAUAGCCAUGCGAACCUUUCCGCCCCAAAGAGGAUACGGUCGGGGCGGGUCCACGUCGGGAGGGGUCCCCUUCGCGGGGGUUCUCUUCCGGCGCCGUCUCGGUCGCCCUCUGGUGAGGUUCGUAGCGGCGCUUCUUAGAGGGACUAUGCAAUCCCAGUGCAUGGAAGUUCGAGGCAAUAACA
rnacentral:rRNA from 1 species